rnacentral:rRNA from 1 species
AUUGAACGCUGGCGGCAUGCCUUACACAUGCAAGUCGAACGGUAACGGGCCUUCGGGUGCCGACGAGUGGCAAACGGGUGAGUAAUGUAUCGGAACGUACCUUUCAGGGGGGGAUAACGUAGCGAAAGUUACGCUAAUACCGCAUAUUCUGUGGACAGGAAAGCAGGGGGUCGCAAGGCCUUGCGCGGCUUGAGCGGCCGAUAUCAGAUUAGCUAGUUGGUGAGGUAAAGGCUCACCAAGGCGACGAUCUGUAGCGGGUCUGAGAGGAUGAUCCGCCACACUGGAACUGAGACACGGUCCAGACUCCUACGGGAGGCAGCAGUGGGGAAUUUUGGACAAUGGGGGCAACCCUGAUCCAGCCAUGCCGCGUGGGUGAAGAAGGCCUUCGGGUUGUAAAGCUCUUUCGGCCGGGAAGAAAUCGUAUCAGCUAAUACCUGGUGCGGAUGACGGUACCGGCAUAAGAAGCACCGGCUAACUACGUGCCAGCCGCCGCAGUAACAC